ACAGCAUGGCUGUCCUGGUGCUGUUGCUCUGCCUGUUGAUAUUUCCAAGCUGUGUCCUGUCCCAAGUGCAACUAAAGGAGUCAGGACCUGGUCUGGUACAGCCAUCACAGACCCUGUCUCUCACCUGCACUGUCUCUGGGUUAUCAUUAACCAGCAAUAGUGUAAGCUGGAUUCGGCAGCCUCCAGGAAAGGGUCUGGAGUGGAUGGGAGUAAUAUGGAGUAAUGGAGGCACAGAUUAUAAUUCAGCUAUCAAAUCCCGACUGAGCAUCAGCAGGGACACCUCGAAGAGCCAAGUUUUCUUAAAGAUGAACAGUCUGCAAACUGAAGACACAGCCAUGUACUUCUGUGCCAGAA
rnacentral:lncRNA from 1 species